UACGUAGGGUGCAAGCGUUAAUCGGAAUUACUGGGCGUAAAGCGUGCGCAGGCGGUUUUGUAAGCCAGAUGUGAAAUCCCCGGGCUUAACCUGGGAAUGGCAUUUGGGACUGCAAGGCUUGAGUGCGGCAGAGGAGACUGGAAUUCCCGGUGUAGCAGUGAAAUGCGUAGAUAUCGGGAGGAAUACCGAUGGCGAAGGCAGGUCUCUGGGCUGACACUGACGCUCAUGCACGAAAGCGUGGGGAGCAAACAGG
rnacentral:rRNA from 1 species